rnacentral:rRNA from 1 species
UACAGAGGUCUCAAGCGUUGUUCGGAUUCAUUGGGCGUAAAGGGUGCGUAGGUGGCAUGGUAAGUCGGAUGUGAAAUCCCGGGGCUCAACCCCGGAACUGCAUUCGAUACUGCUGAGCUAGAGUACUGGAGAGGAGAUUGGAAUUUACGGUGUAGCAGUGAAAUGCGUAGAUAUCGUAAGGAAGACCAGUGGCGAAGGCGGAUCUCUGGACAGUUACUGACACUGGGGCACGAAGGCCAGGGGAGCAAACGGG